rnacentral:rRNA from 1 species
GACGAACGCUGGCGGCGUGCCUAACACAUGCAAGUCGAACGAAGUGGCGAACGGGUGAGUAACGCGUAAUCAACCUGCCCUUCAGAGGGGGACAACAGUUGGAACCGACUGCUAAUACCGCAUACUGAAGGAGGUGAUUGCGUCUGAUUAAGUCGUUGGGGGGGUAACGGCCCACCAAGGCGAUGAUCAGUAGCCGGGCUGGGGGGGGGAACGGCCAAAUUGGGACUGGGAAACGGCCCAGACUCCUACAGGGAGCAGCAGUGGGGAAUCUUCCGCAAUGGGGGAAAGUCUGACGGAGCAACGCCGGGGGAGUUGUGACGGCCUUCGGGUUGGAAAGCUCUGUUAAUCGGGACGCGGUACCGGAAGAGAAAGCAACGGCUAACUACGUGCCAGCAGCCGCGGUAAUUC